AUUGAACGCUAGCGGGAUGCUUUACACAUGCAAGUCGAACGGCAGCGCGGACUUCGGUCUGGCGGCGAGUGGCGAACGGGUGAGUAAUGUAUCGGAACGUGCCCAGUAGCGGGGGAUAACUACGCGAAAGCGUAGCUAAUACCGCAUACGCCCUACGGGGGAAAGCAGGGGAUCGUAAGACCUUGCACUAUUGGAGCGGCCGAUAUCGGAUUAGCUAGUUGGUGAGGUAACGGCUCACCAAGGCGCCGAUCCGUAGCUGGUUUGAGGGGACGACCAGCCAAACUGGGAACUGGACAAGGGCCAAGCUCCCUAGGGAAGGCACAGGUGGGAAAUUUUGAACAUGGGGGCAACCCUGAUCCAGCCAUCCCGCGUGUGCGAUGAAGGCCUUCGGGUUGUAAAGCACUUUUGGCAGGAAAGAAACGUCGCGGGCUAAUACCCCGUGGAACUGACGGUACCUGCAGAAUAAGCACCGGCUAACUACGUG
rnacentral:rRNA from 1 species